UACGUAGGGUCCGAGCGUUAAUCGGAAUUACUGGGCGUAAAGCGUGCGCAGGCGGUUUUGUAAGCCAGAUGUGAAAGCCCCGGGCUCAACCUGGGAACUGCAUUUGGGACUGCAAGGCUGGAGUACGGCAGAGGGAGGUGGAAUUCCACGUGUAGCAGUGAAAUGCGUAGAGAUGUGGAGGAACACCGAUGGCGAAGGCAGCCUCCUGGGCUAGUAACGUGACGCUCAUGCACGAAAGCGUGGGGAGCAAA
rnacentral:rRNA from 1 species